GCAUUUAAGCGGCUUUUAGAUAUAUAAAAAAAUCACUCGUAAUGAGAAGGUCGCCGGUUCGAUUCCGGCUGGUAGCUUA
rnacentral:tRNA from 1 species